rnacentral:rRNA from 1 species
UACGGAGGGUGCAAGCGUUAUCCGGAUUCACUGGGUUUAAAGGGAGCGCAGGCGGAUUUGUAAGUCAGUGGUGAAAGGCUUAAGCUUAACUUGGGAACUGCCAUUGAUACUAUAAGUCUUGAAUGUUGUUGAGGUUUGCGGAAUGGGUCAUGUAGCGGUGAAAUGCAUAGAUAUGACCCGGAACACCUAUUGCGAAGGCAGCAGGCUAAACAAAUAUUGACGCUGAGGCUCGAAAGCGUGGGGAGCGAACAGG